CAAAGGCUUGGUCCUGACUUUACUAUCAGCUAUAGUCCAAUCUAUACAUGCAAGUAUCCGCACCCCCGUGAGAAUGCCCUCAACCUUCCACCCGAAGAUGAGGAGCAGGUAUCAGGCACACUUAUUUAGCCCAAAACGCCUUGCUUUGCCACUCCCUCAAGGGUAUUCAGCAGUAACAAACAUUAAGCCAUAAGUGAAAACUUGACUUAGUUAAGACUAACUGGGCCGGUAAAACUCGUGCCAGCCACCGCGGUCAUACGAGAGGCCCCAGUUGAUAGCCCCGGCGUAAAGCGUGGUUAAGGAACACAAACAAUUAAAGCCAAAUAUUUCCCAGGCCGUCGUACGUUUUCUGGAAACACGAAGCCCAAAUACGAAAGUAGCUUUAUCCCCCUGACCCCACGAAAGCUAAGGAACAAACUGGGAUUAGAUACCCCACUAUGCUUAACCUUAAACUUAGAUGCCCCCCUACCGCAAGCAUCCGCCCGAGUACUACGAGCACUAGCUUAAAACUCAAAGGACUUGGCGGUGACUCAGACCCACCUAGAGGAGCCUGCUCUAGAACCGAUAACCCCCGUUUAACCUCACCACCUCUUGUUUUCUCCGCCUAUAUACCGCCGUCAUCAGCCAACCCCGUGAAGGGAAAAUAGUAGGCAAGAAGGGAUUACCCCCAAAUGUCAGGCCGAGGUGUAGCGUACGAGGUGGGAUAGAAGUGGGCUACAUUUUCUAUAAUAGAUUAUUACAAAAGGCGCCCUGAAAGAUGCACCUGAAGGUGGAUUUAGUAGUAAAAAGUAAAUAGAGUGUACUUUUGAAUUUGGCUCUGAGACACGCACACACCGCCCGUCACCCUCCCUAUUCAACUACAAACAACUAUAUAAAUAUAAAUACAUGAUCCAGGGAGGAAAGUCGUAACAUGGUAAGUGUACCGGAAGGUGCACUUGGAAUAAU
rnacentral:ncRNA from 1 species